rnacentral:tRNA from 1 species
GCAGGGGUCGCCUAGUCUGGUCAAUGGCGUGGCGCUCAAGACGCCAUGGGUUAGUCCCUUCGAGAGUUCGAAUCUCUCCCUCUGCA